GCGCCAUUAGCUCAACUGGUAGAGCAGCUGACUCUUAAUCAGAAGGUUGGGGGUUCGACUCCCUCAUGGCGCACCA
rnacentral:tRNA from 3 species